UUUUCCUUUGAAAGAAAUAAUUUUAACAUACCCAGUAAGGAGAACGGGGGCCGGGCGCAGUGGUUCAUGCCUGUAAUCCCAGCACUUUGGGAGACCAAAGCGAGCGGAUCACCUGAGGUCAGUAGUUCGAGACCAGCCUGACCAACGUAGAGAAACUCUAUCUCUACUAAAAAUACAAAAUUAGCCAGGCGUGGUGGUGCAUGCCUGUAAUCCCAGCUACUUGUGAGGCUGAGGCAGGAGAAUCGCUUGAACCUGGGAGGCAGAGGUUGCAGUGAGCUGAGAUUGCACCACUGCACCCCAGCCUGGGCAAUAAGAGUGAAACUCCAUCUCAAAAAAAAAAAAAAAAAAAGGUGCAUGAAACAUAUGAAGCAAAAAGUGAAAGUCCCCAUUCUUUUCCUUUUUCCAGAGGUGAUUUUUGUGGCCAAUCUGGUUUCAUUCCCUCCCAGACACUUUUCUAGGCAUCUAUGCGCCUCUAUUCACAUAUAAACAAAAUAGGAGUUUUCCUGUGCUUCCCUUAAAUGGCAUAUGUAUCUUUCACUCUUUUUUUUCACCUAGUGGAUCUUUAAUACCUUAAAAGCUCAACCUGGGCUUGGUGCGGUGGCUCAUACGUGUAAUCCCAGGCCUUUGGGAGGCCAAGGUGGGAGGAUCACUUGAGCUCAGGAGUUCCAGACCAUUCCAAAGCAAAAACAAAAGGAUUUUGAGAUCAGUGUGGGCAACUUAGCAAAACACCAUCUCUUAAAAAAAAAAAAAAAUUAGCCAAGCUUGGUGGUGUAAGCCUGUAGUCCCAGCUACUUGAGAGGCUGAGGCGGGAGGAUUGUUUGAACCCAGGAGGUUGAGGCUGCAGUGAGC
rnacentral:lncRNA from 1 species